GACGAAGGUGGCAAGCGUUGCUCGGAAUCACUGGGCUUAAAGGGCGCGUAGGCGGUCGAUCAAGUCGGGUGUGAAAUCCCUCGGCUCAACCGAGGAAUCGCAUUCGAUACUGGUUGGCUGGAGUGCGGUAGGGGAGAGUGGAACUCCAGGUGUAGCGGUGAAAUGCGUAGAUAUCUGGAGGAACGCCGGUGGCGAAAGCGACUCUCUGGCCCGCAACUGACGCUGAGGCGCGAAAGCCAGGGGAGCAAACGGG
rnacentral:rRNA from 1 species